UAGAAACUUGAAACUUGAGAAGCCUCGUAUGGGCACAUGAUUAUCGAGUUUCGUUACCUGACAGAAUAAAAAACGGAAGAAAUUAUUUUUUAAACGAACUGAAUUUACUAACUGCUAAAAGUGAACGUCGAAAUUAUUCUUUUCCAGCAGAGCCUGCUUAUAAAAGUUGAACGCACCUUGACACUAGUGAAAUUUUCGUCCGUACUAAGUAACACAUUGCAGCUCAUAGAUUCGUCUGUCGUUUCGUUGUAUCGCUCUGUGGAACAUCUGCGUGGUAAAAAAAACCAGCUCCGUCGAUAUUCGCUCCACGCGCCCGAUUCGUGGAUCAUGUAUCCUAUGGAUCGACCAUUAUGGUUCAUUAUAUGCUGACACGAGUACGAGAAAUUCAGGUUUGAUAAAAUAAACAAAGCAUAAGGCCUCAGCUAAUGUUUGGAAAUAUUGACUCUUGAUCUUCAUAUUUAUGUUUGCCAGGACAAAAGCUGAAUAAGCUUGUAGUUAUUCCAGCAAUUUAAAACUGUUACAAAGGGAAAUUUACUGAAUAUGGAGGCUUCAAAAUUUGGUGAUCUUCUUGAUAAAGAUGAACGAUUCCAGUUGAAAAAAUUAAUUAUUAAAAAGAUUGAUGAGUAAUAAAAAAUGUCAUACCUGGAAAUUCGAUAUUCAACGAUUGCCUAAGCCUCUUGUAAUUUUUGGUCCAAUCGUAGGACCGUUUUUCACCACUAGGCGUUAUCACAUAUAUCCACAUGGGCUUGUUAUGCUCAAAUUCACCACCACUGGUUGUCCAUUCUUUGCCCAUGCUACCAACAUAGAGCAAUUGAUUUUUCACGGUCGCCCAUUCGGAUUUGAAACCUGAAAUAAAUGUGUUGAAUUCAACAGGAGAAACAAGAAAGAUCCAAAUCAUGAAGGUACCCGAGAAAAUUCCAUUAAUCCUGCUGUGUUCAAAAUGGGAAUGAAAUCAAUAAUAUAAGGAUAAAAACCUUUAGAAUUUUGUCCAU